AGUCACUGACAUUAGAUACCCGGGUAGUCCCAGCCGUAAACAAUGUGCGUUAGGUGUGUCGGUAACCACGUGUUACUGAUGCGCCGAAGAGAAAUCGUGAAACGCACCACCUGGGAAGUACGGUCGCAAGGCUGAAACUUAAAGGAAUUGGCGGGGAGCACCACAACGGGUGGAGCCUGCGGUUUAAUUGGACUCAACGCCGGGAAGCUCACCGGAUAAGACAGCGGAAUGAUUGCCGGGCUGAAGACUCUGCAUGACUAGCUG
rnacentral:rRNA from 1 species